UAGAGUUUGAUCCUGGCUCAGAACGAACGCUGGCGGCGUGGAUAAGACAUGCAAGUCGAACGAGAGAAUUGCUAGCUUGCUAAUAAUUCUCUAGUGGCGCUCGGGUGAGUAACACGUGAGUAACCUGCCCCCGAGAGCGGGAUAGCCCUGGGAAACUGGGAUUAAUACCGCAUAGUAUCGAAAGAUUAAAGCAGCAAUGCGCUUGGGGAUGGGCUCGCGGCCUAUUAGUUAGUUGGUGAGGUAACGGCUCACCAAGGCGAUGACGGGUAGCCGGUCUGAGAGGAUGUCCGGCCACACUGGAACUGAGACACGGUCCAGACACCUACGGGUGGCAGCAGUCGAGAAUCAUUCACAAUGGGGGAAACCCUGAUGGUGCGACGCCGCGUGGGGGAAUGAAGGUCUUCGGAUUGUAAACCCCUGUCAUGUGGGAGCAAAUUAAAAAGAUAGUACCACAAGAGGAAGAGACGGCUAACUCUGUGCCAGCAGCCGCGGUAAUACAGAGGUCUCAAGCGUUGUUCGGAAUCACUGGGCGUAAAGCGUGCGUAGGCUGUUUCGUAAGUCGUGUGUGAAAGGCGCGGGCUCAACCCGCGGACGGCACAUGAUACUGCGAGACUAGAGUAAUGGAGGGGGAACCGGGAAUUCUCGGUGUAGCAGUGAAAUGCGUAGAUAUCGAGAGGAACACUCGUGGCGAAGGCGGGUUCCUGGACAUUAACUGACGCUGAGGCACGAAGGCCAGGGGAGCGAAAGGGAUUUAGAUACCCCUGUAGUCCUGGCAGUAAACGGUGCACGCUUGGUGUGCGGGGAAUCGACCCCCUGCGUGCCGGAGCUAACGCGUUAAGCGUGCCGCCUGGGGAGUACGGUCGCAAGAUUAAAACUCAAAGAAAUUGACGGGGACCCGCACAAGCGGUGGAGUAUGUGGCUUAAUUCGAUGCAACGCGAAGAACCUUACCUGGGCUUGACAUGUAAUGAACAACAUGUGAAAGCAUGCGACUCUUCGGAGGCGUUACACAGGUGCUGCAUGGCCGUCGUCAGCUCGUGUCGUGAGAUGUUUGGUUAAGUCCAGCAACGAACGCAACCCCUGUUGCCAGUUACCAGCACGUGAAGGUGGGGACUCUGGCGAGACUGCCCAGAUCAACUGGGAGGAAGGUGGGGACGACGUCAGGUCAGUAUGGCCCUUAUGCCCAGGGCUGCACACGUACUACAAUGCCCAGUACAGAGGGGGCCGAAGCCGCGAGGCGGAGGAAAUCCUAAAAACUGGGCCCAGUUCGGACUGUAGGCUGCAACCCGCCUACACGAAGCCGGAAUCGCUAGUAAUGGCGCAUCAGCUACGGCGCCGUGAAUACGUUCCCGGGUCUUGUACUCACCGCCCGUCA
rnacentral:rRNA from 1 species